rnacentral:rRNA from 1 species
AUGGACGCAAAGGCGGAGGCGUCCGUCGACGACGCGGUCCCGGAGGCGCCGGAGCAGUCCGUCGUCCUCAUCUCCGCCGGCGCCAACCACUCGGUCGCGCUGCUCUCGGGCCAGAUGGUGUGCUCCUGGGGCCGGGGCGAGGACGGGCAGCUCGGCCACGGAGACUCCGAGGACCGGCCGGUGCCGACGGUGCUGACCUCCUUCGACGUGCCACGCAUUACGUCCGUCGUCUGCGGCGCCGACCACACCGCCGCCUACUCCGACGACGAGAUGCAGCUCUACAGCUGGGGAUGGGGAGACUUCGGGAGGCUGGGGCAUGGCAACUCCAGCGAUGUGUUCAACCCGCAGCCGGUCGUGGCCCUGCAGGGGAUGAAGAUCAAGCAGGUCGCCUGCGGUGACAGCCACUGCCUCGCCGUCACCGUCACCGGACAAGUGCAUAGCUGGGGGCGCAAUCAGAACGGGCAACUUGGUCUCGGAAACAAUGAAGACUCGCUGCUCCCGCAAAAGAUCAAGGCUUUUGAGGGUGUCUGCGUAAAAAUGAUCGCUGCUGGCGCCGAGCAUACUACGGCCAUAACAGAAGAUGGCCAUCUCUACGGAUGGGGCUGGGGUCGAUACGGCAACCUAGGUCUCAGCGACCGCGACGACCGAUCGGUCCCGGAAAAGGUUUCUUCCGUUGAGGGAGAAAAGAUGGUGCUUGUUGCAUGUGGGUGGCGCCACUCGGUCACUGUGUCGUCGUCUGGUGGCCUGUACACGUACGGGUGGAGCAAGUAUGGCCAGCUAGGCCAUGGUGAUUUCGAAGACCAUCUCGUUCCACGCAAGCUCGAGGCCCUCAAAGACGUUUCCAUUUCUCAGAUUGCAGGUGGGUGGAGGCAUACAAUGGCAGUCGCUUCAGAUGGGAAACUCUAUGGAUGGGGGUGGAACAAGUUUGGCCAAGUUGGUGUUGGAGAUGACGUCGAUCACUGUUCCCCCGUGGAGGUGAAUUUUCCCGAUGAACAGAAAAUUGCACAGGUUGCCUGUGGAUGGAGGCAUACUCUUGCCCUGACAGAAAACAAGAAUGUUUUCUCAUGGGGCAGGGGUGCCAGUGGACAGCUUGGUCAUGGUGAAAUAAUCGACAGGAACACACCCAAGAUGAUCGAUGCCCUAAGCCUGGACGGGUCUGCUUGCAAGCAGUUGGAGUCAUCAAACGCUGUUCCAAUGACAGCUAAAGUCUGGGUCCCUCCUUCGAAGCGGUUCGCCAUCGUCCCCGAGGAGAAUGUUAGUAAACCAGGCAAUGGAACCGACAAGCACGCGCCUGAAGGCGAUGCCAAGAGGAUGCGCGUCUGA